AAAAAAAUGACGUUUGCUUCAAAGAUCAUCACAUGCCUCCUCGUCCUUACGAUCUACAUUGCAGCUCCAACAGAGUCACACAUAACGUGUGGGACAGUGACAAGCACAAUGACACAAUGCAUCAGCUACUUGACCAACGGUGGUCCAUUGCCGUCAAGCUGCUGUGUGGCAGUCAAAUCAUUGAACCAAAUGGCUCAGACCACACCAGAUCGCCGACAAGUAUGUGAGUGCCUUAAAUCAGCCGGUAAGGAAAUUAAAGGCCUCAAUAUCGACCUUGUGGCCGCACUCCCUACCACUUGUGGUGUUUCACUUUCCUACCCCAUUGGUUUCAACACCAAUUGUGACAGGUACUUGUCCAUAUAUAACUUUGUUUUUGGUUUUAUAUUAGAUCGUUUUGCUUCUUUCUAGAUUAUCGAUAUAAUUUUCACAGCUGUUUCCACAGUAUAUCUUGAAAGCUAGUUCUCGAUCUACUUGACUCCAAAAUAUAUAAAAGAAAAUGGAUUUGGACUAAUUAAACUACCAGAUAAACACAUAGUUCACUAUAGUCGAUAGUAUAUUGUUGUAUGGUUUGUUACCAGUGACAUGAUACAUUAUUGUUUUGUUUUUUGGAAUGUUACAGUAUAUCGAUUGCCGUGUGAAGGAGACUAGAGACGUACGAACGAAUAAGAAGAGUUGGCCCAACUUUAACCUAAACAAUAAUUAUCCCGCUGCUAUUUUCUAUUUUAUGACUUGAGUUUCUUAUUAUGUAAUCAUCCAUUUCAUAUGGUAAUAAGUAAUAACGAUAAAGGAGCUCUCUCUCUCUUUAUCGGCGCUUUGAUGUAUGUACGCCUAACAUACCAUCAGGAAUAACACUUUGUCUUUCUCUUACAUGUAAUAUAUAUGAUCAAGAGGUUGCAUGAACUAAUGAGCUUUUACCUAACCGCAUAUAUAUAAAGUUAUAGCAUCCAUGAAAAAGGUUUGGCAUAUAAACAUGUUUUGCAAGGUCAAUACAAAGGAUAUCGUUUUAGUCUUCUAAGAAUGUAAAUUUCAUUACUAUUGUAUUGUAUGUUUGAUACAAGAGAACCUGAAUCCAAAGGAUAUCAGACAAAAUGGGUAUUCGAUAUCAGACCACCGGUUCUACAUGUAUGUCAAAUAUUUGUUGUGAGUGUACGUUGUUUGGAUUAAUUUAUAUAUAUAUACUAGUGGUAUUCCGGCGCUACGCGCCGGGUUCAUAUUUUUUUAUUCUUUAAUGAAUUCAAUCAUUUGCUUAUAGAAAUAACAGUUUUUGCAUAUCUUCUUGAUGUUUAGUAAUUAAGUUUGGGGGAUCAACUUGGGGUUCCGUUUGCCAAACUAAAUUAUCAAUACGUUUGUGCUGUUUAUUAAUUUAACAAUUUUAUUUGUUUUGUUUGGUUAUUUGUAGGUUUUAUUUAAAAAUUAAGCUACUGUUUUAUGCAUUUGUAUUUAGCUGGAUUUUUCUAUGUUAUGUGCAUGUGAUACUAAGAAUGUUGCACUCAGACAGUUUGUACCGGCUACUUAUGUAUUAUAGCUACUAUAUGUGGCUUCGUAUGUCAUUUGGGGGUCUUAGUUAUGGCUUAGCUUAGGUUGGGUUUUUUUUGACAGACACAAUGAAAAAAGAGUUGUCCAAAAAAAAACACAAUGAAAAAAUUUGCGAUAGUAGUUAAAGUGAAAACAGAAGCAAAAGCUCAAGUAAAAAAAAACAGAAAAAUUUCUAGGGAAAACUGAAACAAUAGCAAUGUACCAACAAUCCCAAAGAAAAGUAAAAAUUUAUAAAUAUUAAUUAGAAUCUAUAUAUUCGAUUUGAAAAUGAGUAAAAUUUAAUUAGACUUGUAAAUAUAUAUAAGAUUUGCAAAUCAAUUAAAUUGCAUAAAUGAUUGACACCCUUAAACUUUUGAUAAAAAUAAAGUAAAAAUCAAAACUGAGCAGCAAACCAACAUAUGCUGAGUCGCUCAAAUAAGAUAAUUCUUAUAUAUAUAUAUAUAUAUAUAUAUAUAUAUACUGUUGUGAUUGAAAUUUUCAUGCGUGAUUUCAUAAAUUUUAAAUAUGUAUAAAUUUAAAAUUUAAAAUAAAAAUAUGUAAAGUAGUAUUGUUACAUAAUAAUGUUUUCAAAAUAAUUGUUUGUACAAAAAUACAAAUUUAUAGUAAUAAUAUAUAAGCCACAUAAACAUAGCUAUUAUAAAAAUACAUAAUAUAAAACACUUAAUUGCAUUAAGUUAUUUGUAAAUUUUGUUAUACUCCCUCUGUAUACAAAUAUAGAUGUUUUAGUUUUUUUUCUUUGUAUACAAAUGUAUGAUGUUUUACUUUUAACUAAUGAAAUUUUCUUUAAAAAUAAAAUAUUAAUCAAAAUGUAAAAAUUUAAGUGGUUGAAUUUUUAUUGGAAAUCAAAUAAAACUUUAAACUAACUAAAAUAAAAACCAAAAAGUAAUAGAUAAAAAUAAAUAUUUAAUUUCUCUUAAUAUGUGUUAACAACCUUACACAUCCUAUAUUUGUAUCAAGAGGGAGUAUAAACUAAAAUAUUUAAGUAUAGAAAUAAAAAACCGCACUAAUUCCGUAGCUUUUAUUUAAGGAAAUAAAAAAAUAUUAUUUUGUAAACUAUUAAUUAAUUUGAUAGUUAUUUUAGUUAAAAACAUAGUAUAUAUUUAUAUGGACCAACUUAUUUUUUUAAGAAUUCUAAGAAUCACGCUCUUGAUGACACGUGGCUACGAAUAUGUUGUAAUGCUCAAUGAUUUAUAUAUAGGGGAUUUUUCCCAUAAGCAAUUUUACUUAGGUUUGACCAUUUUGUCAACAACUUAUUAUAACACAUUAACUUUAGUUUCUGGAAAUAUUUACAUUCUUAGGAAAAAAACUCAAGUAACCGAAGAUCGGGGAAGCAUUGCAUUAACAUGGGAAUAUGUGUAUUUUUGAUGUUUAAUUCAUAGUAAAUCCCGUUAUUCAUCAAAUUUGCAUGCAUGCGAAGCUAAGCAUAAUUUACGGGUACACAUGACAUUGAUGGAGCUUUCCCAAUUAUAAAAACCGCACCGACGACCUCAACAAAGUAAAACAAUCAAUUAAACACAAUUAAAAAAAAAAUGACGUUUGCUUCAAAGAUCAUCACAUGCCUCCUCGUCCUUACGAUCUACAUUGCAGCUCCAACAGAGUCACACAUAACGUGUGGGACAGUGACAAGCACAAUGACACAAUGCAUCAGCUACUUGACCAACGGUGGUCCAUUGCCGUCAAGCUGCUGUGUGGCAGUCAAAUCAUUGAACCAAAUGGCUCAGACCACACCAGAUCGCCGACAAGUAUGUGAGUGCCUUAAAUCAGCCGGUAAGGAAAUUAAAGGCCUCAAUAUCGACCUUGUGGCCGCACUCCCUACCACUUGUGGUGUUUCACUUUCCUACCCCAUUGGUUUCAACACCAAUUGUGACAGGUACUUGUCCAUAUAUAACUUUGUUUUUGGUUUUAUAUUAGAUCGUUUUGCUUCUUUCUAGAUUAUCGAUAUAAUUUUCACAGCUGUUUCCACAGUAUAUCUUGAAAGCUAGUUCUCGAUCUACUUGACUCC
rnacentral:lncRNA from 1 species